rnacentral:lncRNA from 1 species
CAAUAAUCAACAAAGAAGUAGGUCAGAUGUGAGACUCAUAAAAGGUUUGGAAAAUGAGAUCAAUGGGUGUCGGGACGAGUUGGAAAGAUCUGAGAACAUCAUGGCAGAGCUCAAAGCACAAUGGGCUCAGUAUUUGAACUGAUUGAAAUGGAUCACGAGAAAAUUGUGGCCAGCUUAAAAAGAAAAGUGGUUUCCCUCGAGGGAAAGAUGAUUAAGCAGGCUAAAGAAUUUGAAGUGGAAAGUGGGCAUUGCUACGAUUUGUUG